UACGUAGGGUCCGAGCGUUGUCCGGAAUUACUGGGCGUAAAGAGCUCGUAGGUGGUUUGUCGCGUUGUUCGUGAAAACUCACAGCUCAGCUGUGGGCGUGCGGGCGAUACGGGCAGACUUGAGUACUGCAGGGGAGACUGGAAUUCCUGGUGUAGCGGUGGAAUGCGCAGAUAUCAGGAGGAACACCGGUGGCGAAGGCGGGUCUCUGGGCAGUAACUGACGCUGAGGAGCGAAAGCGUGGGGAGCGAACAGG
rnacentral:rRNA from 1 species